UCGACUGCACGAAGCUGGAAUCGCUAGUAAUCGCGGAUCAGCAUGCCGCGGUGAAUACGUUCCCGGGCCUUGUACACACCGCCCGUCACACCAUGAGAGUCUGUAACACCCAAAGCCGGUGGGAUAACCUUUAUAGGAGUCAGCCGUCUAAGGUAGGACAGAUGAUUAGGGUGAAGUCGUAACAAGGUACC
rnacentral:rRNA from 1 species